UCAAUGAUAUCUUGUAUCGUUUCAGUGCCUUUCUACACUGGAUUUCUUCCCAUUGUCUAUUGGAGUGGGCACAGGAAACUAGCGAGACAAAUGACACUGUUGAUUGCCUUCUGUGACUAUGUAGGGAACUCUAUAAAGAAUAUAGUGUCAGCUCCUAGACCGAUUUCUCCUCCUGUGAGGAGAGUGAAUGCUACAGAAGAAGAGAAAGAAAACUCAAUGGAAUAUGGUUUUCCAUCCUCACAUUGCUUAAAUACUGUCUGUCUCCUGGGGUAAUAAC